CAAGCUGGUACUGCAUUUAUACUAGGGCAUUCGCAUGUUCAAGCGAAACAAGGGUCGUCUCUCCUGAAGAGAUUGGCUAUUAAUUUUGGAUAUAAUUUCCUUGGAAGGAACUGCAGGGGCCCUGAUGUGGCGCUCAAAGUUCCACCAGUGUCUCUUCUAGAGGUUGGCAUGGUUUAUGNUUGUGUAAUGGUUUCAUGUAAAGUAAUUUGCUACGCUUAUUCUAUAUAGAGAAAACUGAACAGUAGCUAGAGGAAAUUGAAGUUCAGGCAAGGUCUAUAUAGCAAGUUAAUUUGUUUGUAGAGAGUCGUCUUUUACCAAUCAUAUGCACUUCUUGAAAUUGAAAAAAAUGAAAUUAUUCAAAGAAGC
rnacentral:misc_RNA from 1 species